AAAUAGCUGACAGCCAUUGCUCAUUUGCUCCCUCCUUUCCUUUUGCCUCUCUGCCUUCUCUGCUCUCUCCCCUCUCCUCCCUACGCAAAACCACACGGAGUGGGCUCAGUCUUAACUCUGCUUCCUUUCUUUGGGAGACACACAGCCCCACCCUCUUGCCGGCUUGCUUUGCUCCCUUGUUCCUCCCAGCCUCUCUCCUCAAAGAUCGACUACACCUAUCUAGCACGCUCUCCUUCUCAACCGAGCGAGCGAGCGAGCGAGAGGACGCGCGAGGUCCCAGCAAUGGACGCGGAUGGGGCCGAUCCAGCUCCCCCUAGGCCUCCAUGGCCUCCUCGGCAGCACGAGGUGGACGCGGAUGAGAAGGCCCCAGGUCCACGUUGAUCACUCGGAGGAGCAUGGUGUCCGCUCGUAGUGACGCCUGCUCGGUCGAGGGAGGGAGGAAAGUCGGGAAUGAAGCCGUAUUGGUCCGGGAGUGUGCGUAUACAUAGUAUUCUUUUUGUGGCGUAACGUCAGAUAGUAGAGUACUAGAUACUAGUAUAAGUUGCAGUUUUCAGGUGGAGGUUUAAUCCAGGAGUAAUUCAGUACCACCCCAGCUAGCCUAUUCUUUAAUUUCGAUGUACUGGCACUGCCGGCAACCGCAGAAGCGGGCCGCCCCUUAUUACAUUCGUAUCCAUUGUCCA